rnacentral:rRNA from 1 species
UACGUAGGGGGCAAGCGUUGUCCGGAAUCAUUGGGCGUAAAGAGCGUGUAGGCGGCCAGAUAAGUCCGCUGUGAAAUCUCGAGGCUCAACUUCGAGCUGUCGGUGGAAACUGUCUGGCUAGAGUCCGGAAGAGGAGAAUGGAAUUCCUGGUGUAGAGGUGAAAUUCGUAGAUAUCGGGAGGAACACCAGUGGCGAAGGCGGCGACCUGGGCCAAUAUUGACGCUGAGGUGCGAAAGCGUGGGGAGCAAACAGG